rnacentral:rRNA from 1 species
UGCCCGGUCUAAAAAGCCGGGAGAAUAAGCGGGGGGCAAGUCUGGUGUCAGCCGCCGCGGUAAUACCAGCUCCGCGAGUGGUCGGGGUGUUUACUGGGCUUAAAGCGCCCGUAGCCGGCCCGGCAAGUCGCUCCUGAAAUCCCAGGGCUCAACCCUGGGGCGGGGGGCGAUACUGCCGGGCUAGGGGGCGGAAGAGGCCGCCGGUACUCCGGGGGUAGGGGCGAAAUCCGUUAAUCCCCGGAGGACCACCAGUGGCGAAAGCGGGCGGCCAGAACGCGCCCGACGGUGAGGGGCGAAAGCCGGGGGAGCAAACCGGGCUCAGGUCGGCGUUGCACAGACAAUCUAAUCAUCCAGUCCCACCACGCGCGCCAACCCCCUCAUCUUUACCAAGCCAACCUGGCCCGGGCUCAAAGGGGAUUAGAUACCCCUGUAGUCCCGGCCGUAAACGAUGCGGGCUAGCUGUCGGCUGGGCUUAAGGCCCGGCCGGUGGCGA